CACGUAGGGGGCAAGCGUUGUCCGGAUUUAUUGGGCGUAAAGAGCUCGUAGGUGGUUCGGUAAGUCGGGUGUUAAACCCCCAGGCUCAACCUGGGGACGCCACUCGAUACUGCUGUGACUAGAGUCCGGUAGGGGAGCGUGGAAUUCCUGGUGUAGCGGUGAAAUGCGCAGAUAUCAGGAGGAACACCAGCGGCGAAGGCGGCGCUCUGGGCCGGUACUGACGCUGAUGUGCGAAAGCGUGGGGAGCAAACAGG
rnacentral:rRNA from 1 species